rnacentral:rRNA from 1 species
GGGGAAUGUUGGACAAUGGGCGCAAGCCUGAUCCAGCCAUACCGCGUGGGUGAAGAAGGCCUUCGGGUUGUAAAGCCCUUUUGUUGGGAAAGAAAACUUGCGGGCUAAUACCCAGCAAGUCUGACGGUACCCAAAGAAUAAGCACCGGCUAACUUCGUGCCAGCAGCCGCGGUAAUACGAAGGGUGCAAGCGUUACUCGGAAUUACUGGGCGUAAAGCGUGCGUAGGUGGUUGUUUAAGUCUGUCGUGAAAGCCCUGGGCUCAACCUGGGAAUUGCGAUGGAUACUGGGCGACUAGAGUGUGGUAGAGGAUAGUGGAAUUUCCGGUGUAGCAGUGAAAUGCGUAGAGAUCGGAAGGAACAUCUGUGGCGAAGGCGACUUUCUGGGCCAACACUGACACUGAGGCACGAAAGCGUGGGGAGCAAAC